GUCAGGUCUUUUCCUAAUGCUGUGAAGUGCUGGUAUUUCCUCUGGGUGAACCGAUUAAAAGGACUCUUUUCGAGUGUCACAGUGUUGCUAAGAAGAGUCUUUAAAGUGACUAAUGAAACAUUGUUUAUUUUUUUUGAAACAUUGUUUAUUUUGAAACCAUCAAAUCUCUCAUUUUGCUUGCCUGGCAGAACUGCUCAUUUCCCCCUACGCCUUUCAUGUGAACUGAAAUUUCCACCUUUUCUGGCUGCCUAGCAGUGUCGCAGUGUCUAUUGGAUUCGGUGCUGGAGAGGCCUGAGGGGUCCUGCUCCCUUCUCACCCUAAUGCAUAACCUUCUGUCAGCUUCUCCCCCUGGGGGCUCCUGUAAAUGGCUGUGGGGAUUAACCUGCAGCAGAGCUCUCUCCUCGUGCUGCUCCUGGGGAAGAGGACAGCGAGUACCAGCCGGGCUGCUGUUGGAUAGCGCGCACAUUCUGAGAGGAACACCCAGCUGGCUUUUAUUAAUUGUCUGCAUUCCCGAGCUUUGUCCUCCUGGCGGUGUGGAUAAUUUCUGUUUAAAAGACAAUUUGCUGUUUUCACAGCAGUCCUGGUUAUCAAAUUCCUUACCCUUCUUCUUAAACUACAAAUAGCAGUGCCGCUUCAUCUGCACACAAAGAUCCUUGUUCCUGGCCGGGGACAAGUCCCCGACAGAGGUCCGGGUCACCGCCUGUGUGGCCGGCCGUGUGGGCUGUGUGCGUGGCACCUGUUGCCCAGCCCGAGCCUCCCGGCUGGGCUUCUGGACCACUGUCCCUUGAGGAGCCGGCCAGGAAAUUCGUUUCACAGCACAAUUUCUCUUGUGCCGUCAUUAUACCAACAACAAUAACAACGAGGACAGCAUAGUUCCAUGCUUAAUUCCCUCAUCACCUGAAGGCUAGGAAACUGAUCUUUCUCUCUGAAACACCGAGAAUUGUGGACACAGUGCUCUGGGAUAAUCGUGUGGUUAAGGAGACCAUUACAGCAUGGCCUGUGUCCGAAUCUCUACAGAGACCGUUCUCCAGUGGCUCCACCAUAGGCUCCAGAGACAGCUCAGUGCCCGCUCCCUCCCUCCCGGGCGGGGGCUCUCUGGCUCUCCCUCUCUGGCUUGGUGACUUGGCUGCAUUCCAGAGGAAGAUGUUUCUGCAACACAGACAGAAGACUAAGUUAGAUCCAAUCCCAGCACGUGCAUGUGAGGGUGAGGCAGGAGGAGUGCUGAGUUCAAGGCCAACCUCAGCUACAUAGUGAGAGACCCUGUCUCAAAAAUGACAGAGCAACAAUACUAAAAUACAAUAGAGAAGGGAAGAAACCACCAACAAAUGACAGUGCAGACAUAAUCCUUUCCGAUAGAAAUGAGUAUUGGUAAUACAAGCCAAACAUCAGAAUACUCUGAGGGCAUUGACAUGGUUACUUUUCUUCAUAUGAUUUCUACUUCAUUUUUUUCCUGACUUUAUUUGAUCUGGCUAAUUUAACUUAGGAAUUUGUUUGUUUGUUUGCUUGAGACAGGGUCUCAGUAUGUAGCCCAGGCUGGCCUUGAACUUGCAGCCAUCCUCCUGCCUCAGCCUCUUGAGUGCUGGGAUUAUAGGCAUGUGCCACCACACCUGGUUAAUUUGGAUAUUUUUAAGGGACAGAUAGAAAUGAUAUGAUCCUACAUUCUCCAGUGUAGUACACAUUGAUUUAAAGAGGACAAAGAAACAUGAAAGCAUAAACCUGUUAGUUUAUAGAGAGGACCAGGGUCGUUAGUGGGAAAACAUGGUGGCAAUUCCUCAGGAAUAUUGCAGAUAUGUUGCAAAGCCAGUCUCCCACAAUUUGGAGAACAUCAUUUCUCCACAUAAAUUCAUAUUUCACAAUCCACUAGUCACUCUUUUUAUUCUAAUCCAAAUUUGGCAACUCACUUAGUAUCUUUGUUUGGAGGGAAUCAUUUUUCAGCUCUUCUGAUGAACUUUAAUAAUGAAUACAUUUCACCUGUUAGGAAUUCACCACUGUACAUAUAAAUAGGACUUGACAGCUUUAAGUCAUUUUAUGCACUUCAUAUUUGAUUUUUUUCUGUUCAUCUUCCACCAAUUUUUUGCUACUAUCACCAGUACUGAAUGAUACAGGGAUUUUCUGGUCAAAACUCACAAUGAUUUUCUGUUACCCUGGGCUACACCACCAUCAUCCCAUCCCCAUCAUCACCGUGGUUGGCUGAGUUGCACGCUGGGGUUCCAGCAGUGGGGCAACUGUCCCAUUUGAGGUUUGUCCCCUCUGAGCCCCCGUCCUUGCAGGCUGACUGUGCUGCCAUCUCCCAGGGUGGCAGCGAGUGAUACCCGGGUUUGCCUGGUGAUGCAAGCAGUGUUUGUUGCAGCUGUGACAUCAGUGUCCCCAUCUCUAACAUAUAUAUUUAUAUGUCCAAACCUCAGCUUACCUCAACUUACUUUUUGUCCCUUGCUUUCCACCCUGUUUAUUUAGUUUCUAAUUAUUUUUUCUUUUGUACCAGGGAUCGAACUCAGGACCUUGUGCUUGUGAGGCAGGCAGCGGAACCACUGAGCUAAAUCCCUGGCCCUUGUUUUUUGGGGUUUUUUUUACCCAUUUGAUCAGAUUUAUUGUUUAGCAACUGAUGCGUAUUUUAAAUGCUUAAUAAUAAUUGUAUUCAUUAUAUUUGUGAUCGUUUAACUUUCUCAUGGAGAAAAAGAAACACAGGCAUGAAAUACCUGCUGGGCCUUCCACAUAGUUUUGGUUUUUACAGAUACUUGGAGCCCGUGUCUACACGGUGGGCAAAGAGGCACCACCAGGUGACCAGGCCCGGGUUGUGACCUUUGACCCACUGCUCAGUCCAUCUCAGGAUCUGGUUUCUGUUGUCCUCCCGCUCUUCAGGCAUAUUGCUGGGCAGCUGGUGCACAGUGUCUUCCUUGUAUGGUAACAUGGCCUCUUCAUAAAGAACGUGAAAAAUCUCACACUCGAUCUUGUCUCCUAGUUUCUUCUCAUUAUAUCCCCUUGUUUCAAGUCUUUUUGUGCAAUAUACUGUUAUCUGUUCUCAACCCAAAAACUGCAUGAAGCCAUCAUUCAGGAAAGAAAUCCCAACCAUGGUAGUCAACAGUAACUCCACCUUCUGCCCUGUGGUUCUCUAACUCAUCAACCACUUUUUCUUCAUCUAAAAUGGGACACUCAUACUCUUCAUCCAUCGUAGCCAUGGUAUAACGCCCCUUCUUGAGCUACAUCACCCACAUUAAUGUACUUUAGUCCUGAUCUGGAUGCAAGUUCUUUGCCUAGUGUGGAUUUUCCAACUCCUGGUGUACCGGUGAGAAGGAUGUUCGGAAGCACCAUAGUUCCCGAGGCCGCGGCCCGGGUGCGUCAGCUCGCUCUACUCCCUUGUUUUGUUUUCUUGAGGCAGGGUCUCGCUGUGUAGCCCAGGCUGGCCUCAAACUCACCACAAUCCUCCUGCCUCAGCCUCCCAAGUGCUGGGAUCACAGCUGCGUGCCACCUGACCUGGUUUCCAAUUUUGUGCUAGGAAGUUGGGCUGCUUGGCCCCUCUGGAAGAGUGAUUCCACCCAGGGAAUAAAGACGCGCGCUGCAAGCCCUCCCUGCC
rnacentral:lncRNA from 1 species